GAGCACGCUUAGGCGUGUGACUGCGUACCUUUUGUAUAAUGGGUCAGCGACUUAUAUUCUGUAGCAAGGUUAACCGAAUAGGGGAGCCGAAGGGAAACCGAGUCUUAACUGGGCGUUAAGUUGCAGGGUAUAGACCCGAAACCCGGUGAUCUAGCCAUGGGCAGGUUGAAGGUUGGGUAACACUAACUGGAGGACCGAACCGACUAAUGUUGAAAAAUUAGCGGAUGACUUGUGGCUGGGGGUGAAAGGCCAAUCAAACCGGGAGAUAGCUGGUUCUCCCCGAAAGCUAUUUAGGUAGCGCCUCGUGAAUUCAUCUCCGGGGGUAGAGCACUGUUUCGGCAAGGGGGUCAUCCCGACUUACCAACCCGAUGCAAACUGCGAAUACCGGAGAAUGUUAUCACGGGAGACACACGGCGGGUGCUAACGUCCGUCGUGAAGAGGGAAACAACCCAGACCGCCAGCUAAGGUCCCAAAGUCAUGGUUAAGUGGGAAACGAUGUGGGAAGGCCCAGACAGCCAGGAUGUUGGCUUAGAAGCAGCCAUCAUUUAAAGAAAGCGUAAUAGCUCACUGGUCGAGUCGGCCUGCGCGGAAGAUGUAACGGGGCUAAACCAUGCACCGAAGCUGCGGCAGCGACGCUUAUGCGUUGUUGGGUAGGGGAGCGUUCUGUAAGCCUGUGA
rnacentral:rRNA from 1 species